rnacentral:rRNA from 1 species
GACGAACGCUGGCGGCGUGCUUAACACAUGCGAGUCGAACGGAAAGGCCCUGCUUUUGUGGGGUGCUCGAGUGGCGAACGGGUGAGUAACACGUGAGUAACCUGCCCUUGACUUUGGGAUAACUUCAGGAAACUGGGGCUAAUACCGGAUAGGAGCUCCUGCUGCUUGGUGGGGGUUGGAAAGUUUCGGCGGUUGGGGAUGGACUCGCGGCCUUUCAGCUUGUUGGUGGGGUAGUGGGUUACCAAGGCUUUGAUGGGUGGCCGGCCUGAGAGGGUGACCGGCCACAUUGGGACUGAGAUACGGCCCAGACUCCUACGGGAGGCAGCAGUGGGGAAUAUUGCACAAUGGGCGGAAGCCUGAUGCAGCAACGCCGCGUGCGGGAUGACGGCCUUCGGGUUGUAAACCGCUUUCGCCUGUGACGAAGCGUGAGUGACGGUAAUGGGUAAAGAAGCACCGGCUAACUACGUG